AUACCUUUCUCGGCCUUUUGGCUAAGAUCAAGUGUAGUAUCUGUUCUUAUCAAUUUAAUAUCUGAUAUGUGGGCCAUUGGUUCACAUGAUAUUAACUUAAUUUUUAAAGGGGAAAAGUCCAUUAAGGAAGCUUGCUACCUGGGCUUUUGUGCGUCGCCCAUGCGUUGCACUACUGCUUGGGCCUGGCGCACCCCAC